UACGAAGGGGGCGAGCGUUGUUCGGAAUCACUGGGCGUAAAGAGCGUGUAGGCGGUUAGGUAGGUCCGUUGUGAAAACUCGAGGCUCAACCUCGAGACGCCGAUGGAAACCAUCUAACUAGAGUCCGGAAGAGGAGAAUGGAAUUCCUGGUGUAGCGGUGAAAUGCGCAGAUAUCAGGAAGAACACCCGUGGCUAAGGCGGGUCUCUGGGCAGUAACUGACGCUGAGGAGCGAAAGCGUGGGGAGCGAACAGG
rnacentral:rRNA from 1 species